AUUGAACGCUGGCGGCAGGCCUAACACAUGCAAGUCGAGCGGAUGAAGGGAGCUUGCUCCUGGAUUCAGCGGCGGACGGGUGAGUAAUGCCUAGGAAUCUGCCUGGCAGUGGGGGAUAACGUCCGGAAACGGGCGCUAAUACCGCAUACGUCCUGAGGGUGAAAGUGGGGGAUCUUCGGACAUCACGCUAUCAGAUGAGCCUAGGUCGGAUUAGCUAGUUGGUGGGGUAAAGGCCUACCAAGGCGACGAUCCGUAACUGGUCUGAGAGGAUGAUCAGUCACACUGGAACUGAGACACGGUCCAGACUCCUACGGGAGGCAGCAGUGGGGAAUAUUGGGCAAUGGGCGAAAGCCUGAUCCAGCCAUGCCGCGUGUGUGAAGAAGGUCUUCGGAUUGUAAAGCACUUUAAGUUGGGAGGAAGGGCAGUAAGUUAAUACCUUGCUGUUUUGACGUUACCAACAGAAUAAGCACCGGCUAACUUCGUG
rnacentral:rRNA from 1 species